rnacentral:tRNA from 1 species
GCCUCGGUAGUGUAAUGGGUUAACACGGCAGACCGGAUAUCUGUAAGUACGGGUUCGAGUUCCGCCUGAGGCU